rnacentral:rRNA from 1 species
AAUAUUUGACACUGGGGGCAACCCCGAUCCAGCCAUGCCGCGUGUGUGAAGAAGGNCUNNGGAUUNUNAAGCACUUUAAGUUGNNNNNAAGGGCUUCAGGCUAAUACCCUGAAGUUUUGAUGUUACCAACAGAAUAAGCACUGGCUAACUCUGUGCCACCAGCCGCGGUAAUACAGAGGGUGCAAGCGUUAAUCGGAAUUACUGGGCGUAAAGCGCGCGUAGGUGGUUCAGUAAGAUGGAUGUGCAAUCCCCGGGCUUAACCUGGGAACUGCUUUCAUAACUGCUGAGCUAGAGUACGGUAGAGGGUAGUGGAAUUUCCUGUGUAGCGGUGAAAUGCGUAGAUAUAGGAAGGAACACCAGUGGCGAAGGCGACUACCUGGACUGAUACUGACACUGAGGUGCGAAAGCGUGGGGAGCAAACA